ACCCAGGCUGCCGGACAACCACACGCAGGACACGUGGCAGAAGCUCCGCGAGGCCAUGCGCGCCAUCCAGAGCAGCACGUCCAUCAGGUACAACCUCGAGGAGCUCUACCAGGCUGUGGAAAACCUCUGUUCUCACAGAGUCUCCCCGACGCUCUACAAGCAGCUGCGCCAGGUCUGCGAGGACCACGUCCAGGCCCAGAUCCUCCAGUUCAGAGAAAACUCGCCGGACAGCGUCCUGUUUCUGAAGAAGAUGAACGCGUGCUGGCAGGACCACUGCAAGCAGAUGAUCAUGAUCCGGAGCAUCUUCCUGUUCCUGGACCGCACGUACGUGCUGCAGAACUCCAUGCUGCCCUCCGUCUGGGACAUGGGCCUAGAGCUGUUUAGGAACCAUAUCAUCAGCGAUAAGACGGUUCAGAGCAAGACCAUCGACGGGAUUCUGCUGUUGAUCGAGCGCGAGAGGAGCCGGGAGGCCGUGGACCGGAGCCUGCUGCGCAGCCUGCUGAGCAUGCUGUCCGACCUGCAGGUAUACAAAGAUUCCUUCGAACUGAAAUUUUUGGAAGAGACUAACUGUACGCUGUGGAAGGCCAGAGACUCAUGCAGGAGAGAGAGGUUCCAGAAUAUCUGAACCACGUAAGUAAACGUCUGGAAGAAGAAGGUGACCGAGUGAUCACGUACCUGGACCACAGCACACAGAAGCCGCUGAUCGCUUGUGUGGAGAAGCAGUUACUGGGGGAGCAUUUAACAGCGAUUCUGCAGAAAGGGCUGGACCACCUGCUGGACGAGAACAGAGUGCCGGACCUCACGCAGAUGUCCCAGCUGUUCAGCCGCGUCAAGGGCGGGCAGCAGGCGCUGCUGCGGCACUGGAGCGAGUACAUCAAGAUUUUGGGACGACCAUUGUCAUCAAUCCUGAGAAAGAUAAAGACAUGGUCCAAGACCUGCUGGACUUCAAGGACAAGGUGGACCACGUGAUAGAGGUGUGCUUCCAGAAGAACGAGCGCUUUGUCAACCUGAUGAAGGAGUCCUUCGAGACGUUUAUCAACAAAAGGCCCAACAAGCCGGCAGAGCUCAUUGCGAAGCACGUGGACUCCAAGCUACGUGCGGGCAACAGAGGCCACCGACGAGGAGCUGGAGAGGACCCUGGACAAGAUCAUGAUACUGUUCAGGUUCAUCCACGGUAAAGAUGUCUUUGAAGCCUUUUAUAAAAAGAAUUUGGCAAAAAGACUCCUUGUUGGGAAAAGUGCCUCAGUGGACGCUGAGAAGUCCAUGCUGUCGAAGCUCAAGCACGAGUGCGGCGGGCCUUCACCAGCAAGCUGGAGGGCAUGUUCAAGGACAUGGAGCUCUCCAAGGACAUCAUGGUCCACUUCAAGCAGCACGUGCAGAAUCAGAGUGACCUGGCCCCGAUUGACCUCACCGUGAACAUCCUCACCAUGGGCUACUGGCCGACGUACACACCCAUGGACGUGCACCUGACCCCGGAAAUGAUCAAACUCCAGGAAGUAUUCAAGACGUUUUAUCUCGGAAAGCACACUGGCUGGAAGCUGCAGUGGCAGACCACUCUGGGGCACGCUGUGUUAAAAGCGGAGUUCAAGGAAGGGAAGAAGGAGCUCCAGGUGUCCCUCUUCCAGAUGCUGGUGCUGCUCAUGUUCAAUGAGGAGGACGAGUUCAGCCUCGAGGAAAUCAAACUGGCCACCGGCAUAGAGGACAGCGAGCUGCGCAGGACGCUGCAGUCCCUGGCCUGCGGCAAGGCGCGCGUGCUGACCAAGAGCCCCAAGGGCGAGGAGGUGGAGGAUGGAGACAAGUUCGUCUUUAACGGAGACUUCAAGCACAAGCUGUUUAGAAUAAAGAUCAACCAGAUUCAGAUGAAGGAAACUGUUGAGGAACAAGUGAGCACCACUGAGAGAGUGUUUCAGGACAGACAGUAUCAGAUUGACGCUGCUAUAGUCAGAAUAAUGAAGAUGAGAAAGACUCUUGGCCAUAACCUGCUAGUUUCUGAAUUGUAUAACCAGCUAAAGUUUCCAGUAAAGCCUGGAGAUUUGAAAAAGAGAAUCGAAUCUCUCAUAGACAGAGACUAUAUGGAGCGAGACAAAGACAACCAAACCAGUACAACUACGUGGCCUGA